GAUGAACGCUGGCGGCGUGCCUAAUACAUGCAAGUCGAGCGAACGGACGAGAAGCUUGCUUCUCUGAUGUUAGCGGCGGACGGGUGAGUAACACGUGGAUAACCUACCUAUAAGACUGGGAUAACUUCGGGAAACCGGAGCUAAUACCGGAUAAUAUUUUGAACCGCAUGGUUCAAAAGUGAAAGACGGUCUUGCUGUCACUUAUAGAUGGAUCCGCGCUGCAUUAGCUAGUUGGUAAGGUAACGGCUUACCAAGGCAACGAUGCAUAGCCGACCUGAGAGGGUGAUCGGCCACACUGGAACUGAGACACGGUCCAGACUCCUACGGGAGGCAGCAGUAGGGAAUCUUCCGCAAUGGGCGAAAGCCUGACGGAGCAACGCCGCGUGAGUGAUGAAGGUCUUCGGAUCGUAAAACUCUGUUAUUAGGGAAGAACAUAUGUGUAAGUAACUGUGCACAUCUUGACGGUACCUAAUCAGAAAGCCACGGCUAACUACGUGCCAGCAGCCGCGGUAAUACGUAGGUGGCAAGCGUUAUCCGGAAUUAUUGGGCGUAAAGCGCGCGUAGGCGGUUUUUUAAGUCUGAUGUGAAAGCCCACGGCUCAACCGUGGAGGGUCAUUGGAAACUGGAAAACUUGAGUGCAGAAGAGGAAAGUGGAAUUCCAUGUGUAGCGGUGAAAUGCGCAGAGAUAUGGAGGAACACCAGUGGCGAAGGCGACUUUCUGGUCUGUAACUGACGCUGAUGUGCGAAAGCGUGGGGAUCAAACAGGAUUAGAUACCCUGGUAGUCCACGCCGUAAACGAUGAGUGCUAAGUGUUAGGGGGUUUCCGCCCCUUAGUGCUGCAGCUAACGCAUUAAGCACUCCGCCUGGGGAGUACGACCGCAAGGUUGAAACUCAAAGGGAUUGACGGGGACCCGCACAAGCGGUGGAGCAUGUGGUUUAAUUCGAAGCAACGCGAAGAACCUUACCAAAUCUUGACAUCCUUUGACAACUCUAGAGAUAGAGCCUUCUCCUUCGGGGGACGAAGUGACAGGUGGUGCAUGGUUGUCGUCAGCUCGUGUCGUGAGAUGUUGGGUUAAGUCCCGCAACGAGCGCAACCCUUAAGCUUAGUUGCCAUCAUUAAGUUGGGCACUCUAAGUUGACUGCCGGUGACAAACCGGAGGAAGGUGGGGAUGACGUCAAAUCAUCAUGCCCCUUAUGAUUUGGGCUACACACGUGCUACAAUGGACAAUACAAAGGGCAGCGAAACCGCGAGGUCAAGCAAAUCCCAUAAAGUUGUUCUCAGUUCGGGUUGUAGUCUGCAACUCGACUACAUGAAGCUGGAAUCGCUAGUAAUCGUAGAUCAGCAUGCUACGGUGAAUACGUUCCCGGGUCU
rnacentral:rRNA from 1 species